UCGGACGACGCUGGCGGCGUGCUUAACACAUGCAAGUCGAGCGGUAAGGCCUUUCGGGGUACACGAGCGGCGAACGGGUGAGUAACACGUGGGUGAUCUGCCCUGCACUUCGGGAUAAGCCUGGGAAACUGGGUCUAAUACCGGAUAUGACCUCAUAUCGCAUGGUGGGUGGUGGAAAGAUUUAUCGGUGCAGGAUGGGCCCGCGGCCUAUCAGCUUGUUGGUGGGGUAAUGGCCUACCAAGGCGACGACGGGUAGCCGACCUGAGAGGGUGACCGGCCACACUGGGACUGAGACACGGCCCAGACUCCUACGGGAGGCAGCAGUGGGGAAUAUUGCACAAUGGGCGAAAGCCUGAUGCAGCGACGCCGCGUGAGGGAUGACGGCCUUCGGGUUGUAAACCUCUUUCAGCAGGGACGAAGCGCAAGUGACGGUACCUGCAGAAGAAGCACCGGCUAACUACGUGCCAGCAGCCGCGGUAAUACGUAGGGUGCAAGCGUUGUCCGGAAUUACUGGGCGUAAAGAGUUCGUAGGCGGUUUGUCGCGUCGUUUGUGAAAACCAGCAGCUCAACUGCUGGCUUGCAGGCGAUACGGGCAGACUUGAGUACUGCAGGGGAGACUGGAAUUCCUGGUGUAGCGGUGAAAUGCGCAGAUAUCAGGAGGAACACCGGUGGCGAAGGCGGGUCUCUGGGCAGUAACUGACGCUGAGGAACGAAAGCGUGGGUAGCGAACAGGAUUAGAUACCCUGGUAGUCCACGCCGUAAACGGUGGGCGCUAGGUGUGGGUUCCUUCCACGGAAUCCGUGCCGUAGCUAACGCAUAAGCGCCCCGCCUGGGAGA
rnacentral:rRNA from 1 species